rnacentral:lncRNA from 1 species
CCAUUUGAUGAGUUUACUUUCCUAAGGAAGAAAGUGAUCACAUUUCCCUAAUUUAUUAAUAGUUGGGCUUUACUAUCUUAUCGCCGAGGGAACGAGGUUGAAUCUCCGAAUACUCACGACUUGAGUGGAGGUCCCAAGGGUGGUUUAUUGGGCCAGCCCCCCAAGGGUUUAUGUCUAAAUAGCGGCUUGCAGCGAGACCCCACCGAUGUUAUCGAGUAUCGAAGGGUCAUGUGAUCCCCGAAGAAUGAUCUCCGACGGUCUCUUGGUCAUCAAAAGAAAAUAGCCAUCACAUUUCCCUAAUUUAUUGCCAAAUGUGCAAUCUAGUCACUUAAUUUGUUUUUGUUAUUCUAUCGAAUUGAAAUGUAUCUUCUAGAAAAAAUUUUCACGACAAGGUGAGUAAGUUAUAAG